rnacentral:rRNA from 1 species
CCUACGGGUGGCAGCAGUGAGGAAUAUUGGUCAAUGGACGAGAGUCUGAACCAGCCAAGUAGCGUGAAGGAUGACUGCCCUAUGGGUUGUAAACUUCUUUUAUAUGGGAAUAAAACGUUCCACGUGUGGGAUUUUGUAUGUACCAUAUGAAUAAGGAUCGGCUAACUCCGUGCCAGCAGCCGCGGUAAUACGGAGGAUCCGAGCGUUAUCCGGAUUUAUUGGGUUUAAAGGGAGCGUAGGUGGAUUGUUAAGUCAGUUGUGAAAGUUUGCGGCUCAACCGUAAAAUUGUAGUUGAAACUGGCAGUCUUGAGUACAGUAGAGGUGGGCGGAAUUCGUGGUGUAGCGGUGAAAUGCUUAGAUAUCACGAAGAACUCCGAUUGCGAAGGCAGUUCACUGGACUGCAACUGACACUGAGGCUCGAAAGUGUGGGUAUCAAACAGGAUUAGAUACCCCAGUAGUC